rnacentral:rRNA from 1 species
CAGUUCGGAUUGUAGGCUGAAACUCGCCUACAUGAAGCUGGAGUUACUAGUAAUCGCAGAUCAGAAUGCUGCGGUGAAUGCGUUCCCGGGUCUUGUACACACCGCCCGUCACACCACGGAAGUUGGGGGCGCCCGAAGCCACUUAUCUAACCCUUUUGGGAAGCGAGUGUCGAAGGUGAAAUCAAUAACUGGGGUGAAGUCGUAACAAGGUAUC